AUGAAUUUCACAUGUGGACCAUUUAUUGUUUGUGUUAUUGGAAUUUUGUUGCAUUAUUCAUACAGAAAAAUACUCCGUCCGUCCCAAAAUACAAAGUUGAGUCACUUAUUUUGGGACGGUUCUCGGGCUGAAACUGAUAUUCAAAAUUGCAGGUUCUGUGAGAGUGUUGUAAUGUUUGUAAUUAUAUAUUGCUUUUGA
rnacentral:rRNA from 1 species